AACGAACGCUGGCGGCAGGCCUAACACAUGCAAGUCGAACGCCCCGCAAGGGGAGUGGCAGACGGGUGAGUGACACGUGGGAACCUUCCCAACAGUACGGAAUAGCCCAGGGAAACUUGGAGUAAUACCGUAUAUUCCCGAGAGGGGAAAGAUUUAUCGCUGUUGGAUGGGCCCGCGUCGGAUUAGCUAGUUGGUGAGGUAACGGCUCACCAAGGCGACGAUCCGUAGCUGGUUUGAGAGAAUGACCAGCCACACUGGGACUGAGACACGGCCCAGACUCCUACGGGAGGCAGCAGUGGGGAAUCUUGGACAAUGGGCGCAAGCUUGAUCCAGCCAUGCCGCGUGAGUGACGAAGGCCUUAGGGUUGUAAAGCUCUUUUGCCGGGGACGAUAAUGACGGUACCCGGAGAAUAAGUCCCGGCUAACUUCGUGCCAGCCGCCGCGGUAAAAC
rnacentral:rRNA from 1 species